CACUUCCUGUUUUCGUCACAACAAAGACAGAGAGUCAACAAUUGGACAACACUGGAUAUGCCUGGCUGCAUCGCUGUCGGCUGGCUGUGUGUGUGUUGCACGUUGACGACGCUCAUUCGCUGUCUCCUGUGACGUGACUCUGCCAGGUACAGGGGUGUCCCAGCACAUAGUAAGUUAAAAACGUUGCUCUGAAGCGUCUUUGGAGAUGGUUUAAGUACAAGUGCCGUUCUGGCUUCUAAUCGUCCAUGGCGUUUCUACUGGAAUGGAUUCUUCAUUCAUCACUCCAAGCAACGUUGUGUAACUAGCGGAAGGAAAUGGGUCACUUCUAUCAGCAUGGGAACUGGAGACUUCACAUCUGACCCCGCAUGGAUAGACCCACUCAACACCUGCACAAUGGAUAUUGAGCUAAUAUGCUAAAAAUACCAUCCAUAUCGCAGGAGAGAGGUUUGAGUGGGGGGGGAGGUGUGCGGCUGAUGGAUCCAUGCGAAGAAUAAUGGCAAACUAGGUCAGCCGUUAUUGUUAUUUAUUCUAUUU